CUUAAUAAAAGGUCUUAAACAGUUACAUGAGAACCAAAAAAACAACCCAACGCUUUUGGAGAAUAAAUCAGGAUCUGGAGUUCCAAACAGUAAUACCAAUUCCAGUGUGCAGCAUGUUCAGAUAAGAGUUGCCCGCUUGGAAGAUAAUACAGCCAUCUCUUCUAGCCCCAUGGCAGCAUUGCAGAUUCCAGUCCAGAUCACCCAUGUUUCUUCAGCAGACUCUCCUGCUACCGUUGACUCAGAAACAAUAACACUAAACAGUGGAACACUACAGACAUUUGAGAUUCUUCCCUCUUUCCAUCUACAGCCCACUGGCACUCCAGGCACCUACCUACUUCAAACAAGCUCAAGCCAAGGCCUUCCCCUAACUCUGACUGCUAGUCCCACAGUAACCCUGACAGCUGCUGCUCCUGCUUCUCCUGAACAGAUUAUUGUUCAUGCUUUAUCCGUAUGUUACAUAAAUUACUUGAUUUUUGAGUACCUGUUAUAGACCAGGAUUAGUUGAUAAGGACCAAAAUAGAAGGUAGUUAUCUAAACAGUUCUUCCUACUGCUGCUGUUCCAGGCACAGUGUUACACACCAUCACUCU
rnacentral:sRNA from 1 species